CGCGCCGUCAGCCCGUCAGGCCCACGCCGCGGCGAAGUUUUGACAGCUGCUCCAGUUGUUGUGGCCUUUUCAGCUUUAUUAUAUGUACAGUCAAAGGAAGCUUGGAGCAGGGAAGAAAGCUGCCAUAUGAAAGGUAAGCUACAAAUUAAAAGGAGAGAGGAAAUUGGGAUUUCUAGACAAUUAUAUCACUUAUCGUUGUGGUAUAUUGAACCCAGAACUGCACACACAGCUAAGCUAGCACUCCACCACUGAGUUUUAUCCCUAGACUGAAUCGUUUUUAAAGAUUUUUUUUUAAAAGAAAUGUUUUUUGUUUGUGUUCGUGUCCGAAUGAGUUUAUGUGCACCAUGUAUAUGGAGAUACCAGAGAAGGCCAGAAAGUGUCCAGUCCCCUAGAAUGAGGUUACAGGCAAUUGUGAGCUGCCAUGUGGGCAUUGGAAAUCAACUCCAGUUUCCUGCAAGAACAGUGCUCUGAAUCGCUAAGCCAGGUCUCCAGCCCCUGGACCUGGCUUUUAAAUAUAAACUUUUAAAAUAAAGCCUUUUUCUUUUGAUACUAGAAUAAGAAUAGUAUUCAUCUAAAAAAAAUUAAACGUUAUAUUAUUGUUGCUAUGGUUAAAAUAGAGGAAUGGGCAUGGAACCAGGUAUAGUGGCCCAUACCUUAAAUACCAGGACUAGAAAGACAGAGGCAGGUGGAUCUCUAUGAGUUUGGGGACAGCAUGGUCUGCAUAAGACAGCCCAACCAAGACUACAUAGUGAGACCCUGUCUUUAAAAAAAAAAAAAAUUAGGGCUAUACAUAAUGAAACUUAUGAUACUUGGCUUCAGGUAUGUAGUUAUUCAUGUUAUUCAUUAAUUAAAACAAAAGAUGAUAGAACUUAAUAAAAAAAAACAAAUUGUAAAAUAUAGCUCAAAAUCAAAUAGGCUUGAUGAUACAAACCUAUAACCCAAUACUUGGGAGGAGGAAGCAGGGGGAUGAGUAGUAAGUAGUUCAAAGACAUUUGUCACUCUGUAGUGGAAUGGAAGCCAGCCUAGGAAAUGCAUAGCACCCUAUCUC
rnacentral:lncRNA from 1 species